NUAGUAUUCCCUCCGUCCCAAAAUUCUUGUCUUACAUUUGUUUAGAUACGGAUGUAUCUAACACUAAAAUGUAACUAGAUACAUCCGUAUUUAGACAAAUUUAAGACAAGAAUUUUGGGAUGGAGGGAGUACAAA
rnacentral:pre_miRNA from 1 species